rnacentral:tRNA from 1 species
GGGGAGAUGCCCGAGUGGACAAAGGGAACUGACUGUAAAUCAGUCGCGUUAGCUUCGGAGGUUCGAAUCCCCCUCUCCCCA